UCCCUGGUGGCUCAGAUGAUAAGGCGUCUGCCUACAAUGCAGGAGACCUGGGUUCAAUCCCUGGGUUGGGAA
rfam:TPA: Bos taurus chromosome 9, whole genome shotgun sequence.